CCCCGGUAAACGGCGGCCGUAACUAUAACGGUCCUAAGGUAGCGAAAUUCCUUGUCGGGUAAGUUCCGACCUGCACGAAUGGCGUAAUGAUGGCCAGGCUGUCUCCACCCGAGACUCAGUGAAAUUGAACUCGCUGUGAAGAUGCAGUGUACCCGCGGCAAGACGGAAAGACCCCGUGAACCUUUACUAUAGCUUGACACUGAACAUUGAGCCUUGAUGUGUAGGAUAGGUGGGAGGCUUUGAAGUGUGGACGCCAGUCUGCAUGGAGCCGACCUUGAAAUACCACCCUUUAAUGUUUGAUGUUCUAACGUGGACCCGUAAUCCGGGUUGCGGACAGUGUCUGGUGGGUAGUUUGACUGGGGCGGUCUCCUCCUAAAGAGUAACGGAGGAGCACGAAGGUUGGCUAAUCCUGGUCGGACAUCAGGAGGUUAGUGCAAUGGCAUAAGCCAGCUUGACUGCGAGCGUGACGGCGCGAGCAGGUGCGAAAGCAGGUCAUAGUGAUCCGGUGGUUCUGAAUGGAAGGGCCAUCGCUCAACGGAUAAAAGGUACUCCGGGGAUAACAGGCUGAUACCGCCCAAGAGUUCAUAUCGACGGCGGUGUUUGGCACCUCGAUGUCGGCUCAUCACAUCCUGGGGCUGAAGUAGGUCCCAAGGGUAUGGCUGUUCGCCAUUUAAAGUGGUACGCGAGCUGGGUUUAGAACGUCGUGAGACAGUUCGGUCCCUAUCUGCCGUGGGCGCUGGAGAACUGAGGGGGG
rnacentral:rRNA from 2 species